UCCGAGUUGACCCCGGCAGUCUCCUGCGAGUCCCCGCCAUUACGCGCUGGCAACACAGGACAAGGGUUGCGCUCGUUGCGGGACUUAACCCAACAUCUCACGACACGAGCUGACGACAGCCAUGCAGCACCUGUGUUCAGGUUCCCUUUCGGGCACCCCUGCAUUUCUGCAGGGUUCCUGACAUGUCAAGGGUAGGUAAGGUUCCUCGCGUAUCAUCGAAUUAAACCAUAUGCUCCACCGCUUGUGCGGACCCCCGCCAAUUCCUUUGAGUUUCAGCCUUGCGGCCGUACUCCCCAGGCGGGGCACUUACUGCGUUAGCGACGGCACCGGGAGGGUCGCUCCCCCCGACGCCUAGUGCCCAUCGUUUACGGCGUGGACUAC
rnacentral:misc_RNA from 1 species